ACCUCACAGAUGAGGGGCAGAAGCAAACAGAAGGGGAAUAAGAAGACAAGAACCACACAGAGCGUGAAGCUCGGAGCCACGAAAUGAGCUGAUAUGACAGAUGCUCGAGUGGAAUCAAGAAAGAGAAUCGAGGGUUCAUGGCAAAUGGAAUUACCCUUCCGGCCGGUGUCUCGUUCUGAGCGCAGAGAUGGAAGAUGUUCCAGUGGCUGCGUUAGUUCAGGGGAAGAAUAGCACUUGAGCAUUAAAGAUUUACCAAGGUGUUA